GUGGCUUUUCUGUCCAACGUGCUGUGCUGUGUGUGCCUGCAGGUCAUAUUUAUCUGCCUGUCAGGACUGUCGGAGCACUGGAUGGAGAGCAGGUCAUAUGAAGAGGAUUAGGGAGUAAAAGGCAGCUUGUACUGAAGUGCAGGGAAAGUAUAAAUAUUGAUAUAUAUUGGCACAGUGCCUGGCCUUAAUGCUUAAAAUCCUUUGGAGAGCUGUCUGCAUAUUUACUCUAUUAAUGAUCAAAUGCAAGGCUGUGUUGGGAAAGGUCUUCCAUUUGGAAGUCAGUAGUUGAGACUGUCUUGCCUAUGAAAAAUAGGGAGAAUUUUCGUUAGAGGAUGUAGGAUUCUGGCUGGUAAUAGUCUUAAUUCAAGGUAUUUUUAGAGAAUUGAUUUAAUACAAGCAGAACAAAUGGCCAGAAGUGUAAUGAGAGACAAGUUGAAAUUAGAAAGUAGAUGUGCAUUUUGAAUGUAUUGUCAUAGCAACUGAUUAAAUUCUCCCUCUCUUGCUGUUCUGGGGACCUUUUAAAUGUGCUUUGGCUAAAUAAAAAGUAUUAGACUAUUUCAGAGCCAAAAGGUCAGUUCUUGUUGUCUCUUUUGCACUUUAAUUCUAGUACACUGAUACUUGCUAACCACUUAUAACCCUAGAUGCAGAAUGAGAACUUGGGUUAUUAACAAUAAAGAAGUAAACAGCAGAAAGACUUGACCUUUCUUUUGAAUUGCCCUACAGUGUUAAAAAAUACCAAACAAACCUCCUUCCCCAAAGAAACACCCCCAAAAUACCCCAAGAACUCACCAAACAGAAAAUCACCGACAACCAAAAAGCAGAAGUAACAAACAUGAACAGCAAGUGGAGGAAGAGUUUGAAAGCGGGCUGGACAGAAGCAGAAGUGUUACUGCCCACUCUUAGGCCACUGUGCUGAUUAAAUGGGUGUUGUUAGGUUUAGAUCAGUAGUUCGUUGUUGUUGGGUUUUUCAGUGGUGUUGAUUUUUUUGUUGUCGUUGUGGGGGAUUGUUUGUUUGUUUGUUUUACUUUGUUUUUUUUCUGUAUUAAAAAUCUGGCUCAGUUACUCUCUAGUUCUGGUGUGUUUUCUUUUCCAGGUGGUUGGUGUUUCUGCAGUGUUUGGCACAGGACUGGGGGAGAUUUUUACCCAGCUUUCUAAAGCUGUAGAUGAAUAGGAGAGACUGAAUGCACUCCCUUUAUUCACCUUUUCAGAGAGUAUCGUCCAGAAUACGAGCGCCUGAGAAAAACACUGGUAAGUGUUUUUAGCUGUUUUACAUCUGAACAGUGUAUCUGGGGUCACUUUUAGGCACACAAUUGCCUUUAUGUUGUGAGGGUCUAACAUUUCAUUUACUAGUUGUACUCACUGUGGGAAAACUCCUGUCCUGAAGGAGUCCACCAUUUGCCUUUUUUUUCCUAGAUGUGGUGGAGCAUAUCUUUACAAAAAAAAAGAUUUUGUAAAACAGAUGUUGCUCAGUGGUUUAGUGCUAAUAUUUGAGCUAAUUGUGUGAAAAUGAUUGGGAAAUAAGAUUGUGUCUUCCAUUCAGAUGGAUAGAGAGUUCUUAAAAAUAAAUUUCCAAAGGGAUUUGUUGAGACUA